UGAAUGUGAAUUAUGGAUCUCCAAGUGGCGUCGCCCGCGUCAUUUUCAAGAUUUUACCCGUUUUGAAGGCAAUAGGGCUGUUGAUAGGGAGAAUGCUAGGCUACUGCAGACUGCAACCAUAGGCGCUGUGUCUAAAGGUUAAGCUCACAUGACGCGGCAGGGAAGGGAGC